UGUGCCCCUGAACUGCAGCCUAGGUGACAGAGUGAGACUCUGACUCAAAACAGAAAAAGAAAAUAGGGUUAAUGAAGAAUAGGCCAAGAGCCUGUGGUUUGAAAAGCAGCUCUUCAAAUGAAUAUAUAUUAGGAACACUGGGUAGUGCUUUUUAACCUCCUUUGUACUCAGGCACAUUUUACAAAUUUAAAUUGUUACUCUCCAAGCCAAACACAUCCCUCAGAAUCCUUUUACCUUUUAUUAGGGUUGAUUGCCAGGCUGUGAUGGGGCUCUUUUUUUUCACAGAACCUUUGCAUAUCGUGGGCUAAUUGGGGCUUAAUUGUGAAAAUGAACAAUGGAAGACCAUGAAGGCAAUGAAGGCCAAAUCCAGAGCAAGAAGAGGGAGACUGAAGAGAUAUACUUGUCAUGAAUGGAUUGCAAACAUAACCUUCAAGAGCCAAGAUCUUGCUGUAUCGUCCAGGCUG
rnacentral:lncRNA from 1 species